rnacentral:rRNA from 1 species
GGGCCCGCACAAGCGGAGGAACAUGUGGUUUAAUUCGAUGAUACGCGAGGAACCUUACCCGGGUUUGAACGCAUUUUGACAGGGGUGGAACACUCUUUCUAGCAAUAGCAAUUUGCGAGGUGCUGCAUGGUUGUCGUCAGCUCGUGCCGUGAGGUGUCGGCUUAAGUGCCAUAACGAGCGCAACCCUUAUUGUUAGUUACCAGCAUGUAGUGAUGGGGACUCUAACAAGACUGCCGGCGUAAGCUGUGAGGAAGGUGGGGAUGACGUCAAAUCAGCACGGCCCUUACAUCCGGGGCGACACACGUGUUACAAUGGGGAGGACAAAGAGCAGCUACCUAGCGAUAGGAUGCUAAUCUCAAAACCUCUUCUCAGUUCGGAUCGGAGUCUGCAACUCGACUCCGUGAAGCUGGAUUCGCUAGUAAUCGCGCAUCAGCCAUGGCG